rnacentral:rRNA from 1 species
AGUGAACGCUGGCGGUAGGCCUAACACAUGCAAGUCGAACGGCAGCACAGUAAGAGCUUGCUCUUACGGGUGGCGAGUGGCGGACGGGUGAGGUAUACAUCGGACCCUACUUUUUCGUGGGGGAUAACGUAGGGAAACCUACGCUAAUAUCGCAUACGACCUUCGGGUGAAAGCAGUGGAUCUUCGGACCUUGCGCGAGUGAAUGAGCCGAUGUCGGAUUAGCUAGUUGGCGGGGUAAAGGCCCACCAAGGCGCGGAUCCGUAGCUGGUCUGAGAGGAUGAUCGGCCACACUGGAACUGAGACACGGUCCAGGGUCCUACGGGAGGCAGCAGUGGGGAAUGUUGGACAAUGGGCGCAAGCCUGAUCCAGCGGUACCGCGUGGGUGAAGAAGGCCUUCGGGUUGUAAAGCCCUUUUGUUGGGAAAGAAAAGCAGCAGGUUGAUACCCCGCUGUUCUGACGGUACCCAAAGAAUAAGCACCGGCUAACUUCGUG